AGUGAACGCUGGCGGUAGGCCUAACACAUGCAAGUCGAACGGCAGCACAGUAAGAGCUUGCUCCUACGGGUGGCGAGUGGCGGACGGGUGAGGAAUACAUCGGAAUCUACUUUUUCGUGGGGGAUAACGUAGGGAAACUUACGCUAAUACCGCAUACGACCUACGGGUGAAAGCAGGGGAUCUUCGGACCUUGCGCGAUUGAAUGAGCCGAUGUCGGAUUGGCUAGUUGGCGGGGUAAAGGCCCACCAAGGCGACGAUCCGUAGCUGGUCUGAGAGGAUGAUCAGCCACACUGGAACUGAGACACGGUCCAGACUCCUACGGGAGGCAGCAGUGGGGAAUAUUGGACAAUGGGCGCAAGCCUGAUCCAGCCAUACCGCGUGGGUGAAGAAGGCCUUCGGGUUGUAAAGCCCUUUUGUUGGGAAAGAAAAGCAGCAGGUUAAUACCCCGCUGUUCUGACGGUACCCAAAGAAUAAGCACCGGCUAACUUCGUG
rnacentral:rRNA from 1 species